AAACCUUACAAAAGCCAGAUACAGGGACCGGAAAUGAAUAAAUCAGUUUCAGAUAAAAUAUGCUAGUAAACAUGUUAGAGCAGAUACUUUAUCUCCCUCUCGAUCUGCUGCACAUCUCUGUUUAUUCUGCCAAGAAUCUAUUUUUCUUCUUUCUGUGUAAAUCCAGCGAGAGAAAUAAAUGCUCUUUUUUGGCUUUCUUUUUGGUAUCAAUACAUUUUCUUUCAAAUUCUUCUCUAAAGUUUCAGUUUGGGUUCUUAUGAUAAACCUGAAAUAGAUGCAGAUUUACUUUACUUUAUUUUAGGUGCAGUAUUUGUAACACUCUACCUGUGAAAACAAGAGAAUACGUCUAAGUGCACCUACUUGUAGCUUCACAAACUUUCUGUCGCAACAUUCAUGAUAAC